GCUUUUGAAAGGUCAGCGGCGGACGGGUGAGUAACACGUGGGCAACCUGCCUGUAAGACUGGGAUAACUUCGGGAAACCGGAGCUAAUACCGGAUAAUAUAAGGAACCUCCUGGUUCUUUAUUGAAAGAUGGUUUCGGCUAUCACUUACAGAUGGGCCCGCGGCGCAUUAGCUAGUUGGUGAGGUAACGGCUCACCAAGGCGACGAUGCGUAGCCGACCUGAGAGGGUGAUCGGCCACACUGGGACUGAGACACGGCCCAGACUCCUACGGGAGGCAGCAGUAGGGAAUCUUCCACAAUGGACGAAAGUCUGAUGGAGCAACGCCGCGUGAGCGAUGAAGGCCUUCGGGUCGUAAAGCUCUGUUGUUAGGGAAGAACAAGUGCGAGAGUAACUGCUCGCACCUUGACGGUACCUAACCAGAAAGCCACGGCUAACUACGUGCCAGCAGCCGCGGUAAUACGUAGGUGGCAAGCGUUGUCCGGAAUUAUUGGGCGUAAAGCGCGCGCAGGUGGUCCUUUAAGUCUGAUGUGAAAGCCCACGGCUCAACCGUGGAGGGUCAUUGGAAACUGGGGGACUUGAGUGCAGAAGAGGAAAGUGGA
rnacentral:rRNA from 1 species